GAGUUGGGAGAACUUCAAGGCUGGUGAGCACAAGGAGCCAGGUACAGAGAUGAGAGCGUCCCCUUCCAUUCCAGGAAGAUGGCAUGCUCCAACUCCAUGGGGACAGAAGCUCCUGCUCUUGGGACCUUUGUGAGCUCAUCCUCUGUGUCCCUUCAUCUGGCUGUUCAUCUAUAUCCUCUGUAUAGGAAAAGUAACUUUCUGAGCAUCAUCUUCCUCCUUCCUGGCUCGACUCUUCUUUGGUGGGCAGGUGACCUCAGGCCUCACUGGGUGCAAAUGCACAAAGCCAGUUCUGGCUGUUGAGGAGCAGGAGUCAAUGACGGAGCCUGUGUGGCCUCAGCCUCUUUUCUGCUGUGCUCUGACCAUGGGAAUCUCACUGAAGGCAAGAAAAGACCCUUUGAACUUCCCUUUAGAAGAAUCUCUUAUUCUUUUGAGGUUUUCAUAGUGAAGAGUUGGACGAGCCUGUGGUUUCAAAGCCUUGGUGGUAGCCUCCCACAUCUGUCACUUUAUGAGUUGCCCCAGAAGGCUAGAAGGCACCUUCAGAUCCAUCAUUUUUCUUCACAAAUACAUUUGUUCCCUUUC